rnacentral:rRNA from 1 species
UACGAAGGGGGCUAGCGUUGUUCGGAAUUACUGGGCGUAAAGCGCACGUAGGCGGGUUGUUAAGUCAGGGGUGAAAUCCUGGAGCUCAACUUCAGAACUGCCUUUGAUACUGGCAACCUAGAGACUGGAAGAGGUUAGUGGAAUUCCCAGUGUAGAGGUGAAAUUCGUAGAUAUUGGGAAGAACACCAGUGGCGAAGGCGGCUAACUGGUCCAGCACUGACGCUGAGGUGCGAAAGCGUGGGGAGCAAACAGG